CGACCAAAAGUUAUUUGUGGGGGCAAGGUUUUUGUCAUAACCUUUACCAGUUUGGGCUAUUUGGGAGAAGAAAGAAAAGACCACACUCCACAGUGGCUAUACCACUUCAGUAUAGCUCAUUACUAUUUUGUGGCCUACAGU
rnacentral:snoRNA from 1 species